rnacentral:rRNA from 1 species
CCUACGGGAGGCUGCAGUGGGGAAUAUUGCACAAUGGGGGCAACCCUGAUGCAGCGACGCCGCGUGCGUGAAGAAGUCUUUCGGUAUGUAAAGCUCUAUCAGCAGGGGAGAAAAUGACGGUACCUGAUUCAGAAGCCACGGCUAACUACGUGCCAGCAGCCGCGGUAAUACGUAGGCGGCAAGCGUUAUCCGGAUUUACUGGGUGUAAAGGGAGCGUAGACGGCAGCACAAGUCAGGGGUGAAAUGCCGGGGCUUAACUUCGGAACUGCCUUGGAAACUGUGCAGCUAGAGAGCAGUAGAGGUAAGUGGAAUGCCUAGUGUAGCGGUGAAAUGCGUAGAGAUUAGGAGGAACACCAGUUGCGAAGGCAGCUUACUAGGCU